GGGGUUGUGGCUCAGUGGUAGAGUGCUUGUUUCUCAUGUAUGAGGCAAUGAGGUCAAUUCUCAGCCCUA
rnacentral:tRNA from 1 species